AGUGAACGCUGGCGGUAGGCCUAACACAUGCAAGUCGAACGGCCGCACAGUAAGCUCUUUCUCUUACGGUUGGCGACUGACGGACGAGUAAGGCGUACAUCGGCUUCUACUUUUUCGUGGAUGAUAACGUAGGGCCACUUACGCUACUACCUCAUACUUCCUACGGGUUAGAGCAGGAGAUCUUCGCGCUUUUCGUGUCUCUAUUAGCUGAGGUCGGAUUACCUAGUUGGCGUGGUAAAGUCCCAACAAGGCAAAGCUACGUAGCUGGUCUGAGAGGAUGAUCAGCCACACUGGAAAUGAAACACGGUCCAGAAUCCUAAGGGAGGCAGCAGUGGGGAAUAUUGGAGAAAGGGCGGAAGCCUGAUCCAGCCAUACCGCGUGGGUGAAGAAGGCCCUCGGGAUGGAAAGCCCUUUUGUUGGGAAAGAAAAGCAGCAGGUAAAUACCCCGCUGUUCUGAAGGUACCCAAAGAAGAAGCACAGGCUAACUUAGUG
rnacentral:rRNA from 1 species